rnacentral:rRNA from 1 species
UGCAAGUCGAGGGGUAUAGUUCUUCGGAAUUAGAGACCGGCGCACGGGUGCGUAACGCGUAUGCAAUCUACCUUUCACAGAGGGAUAGCCCAGAGAAAUUUGGAUUAAUACCUCAUAGUAUAGUAGUUUCGCAUGAAACCACUAUUAAAGUCACAACGGUGAAAGAUGAGCAUGCGUCCCAUUAGCUAGUUGGUAAGGUAACGGCUUACCAAGGCUACGAUGGGUAGGGGUCCUGAGAGGGAGAUCCCCCACACUGGUACUGAGACACGGACCAGACUCCUACGGGAGGCAGCAGUGAGGAGUAUUGGACAAUGGGCGCAAGCCUGAUCCAGCCAUGCCGCGUGCAGGAUGACGGUCCUAUGGAUUGUAAACUGCUUUUGCACAGGAAGAAACAACGCUACGUGUAGCGUCUUGACGGUACUGUGAGAAUAAGGAUCGGCUAACUCCGUGCCAGCAGCCGCGGUAAUACGGAGGAUCCAAGCGUUAUCCGGAAUCAUUGGGUUUAAAGGGUCCGUAGGCGGUUUAGUAAGUCAGUGGUGAGAGCCCAUCGCUCAACGGUGGAACGGCCAUUGAUACUGCUAGACUUGAAUUGUUAGGAAGUAACUAGAAUAUGUAGUGUAGCGGUGAAAUGCUUAGAGAUUACAUGGAAUACCAAUUGCGAAGGCAGGUUACUACUAAUGGAUUGACGCUGAUGGACGAAAGCGUGGGUAGCGAACAGGAUUAGAUACCCUGGUAGUCCACGCCGUAAACGAUGGAUACUAGCUGUUGGGAGCGAUCUCAGUGGCUAAGCGAAAGUGAUAAGUAUCCCACCUGGGGAGUACGUUCGCAAGAAUGAAACUCAAAGGAAUUGACGGGGGCCCGCACAAGCGGUGGAGCAUGUGGUUUAAUUCGAUGAUACGCGAGGAACCUUACCAAGGCUUAAAUGUAGUUUGACCGGUUUGGAAACAGACUUUUCGCAAGACAAAUUACAA